rnacentral:rRNA from 1 species
GAUGAACGCUAGCGACAGGCCUAACACAUGCAAGUCGAGGGGCAGCACAUGAGUAGCAAUACAAUGGUGGCGACCGGCGCACGGGUGAGUAACACGUAUGCAACCUGCCUUCUACUAUGGGAUAACCCGUUGAAAGACGGACUAAUACCGUAUAAUACAGGGGCUCCGCAUGGAGAUAUUUGUUAAAGAUUUAUUGGUAGAAGAUGGGCAUGCGUAUGAUUAGAUAGUUGGUGAGGUAACGGCUCACCAAGUCAACGAUCAUUAGGGGUUCUGAGAGGAAGGUCCCCCACACUGGUACUGAGACACGGACCAGACUCCUACGGGAGGCAGCAGUGAGGAAUAUUGGUCAAUGGACGAGAGUCUGAACCAGCCAAGUCGCGUGAAGGAAGACGGUUCUAUGAAUUGUAAACUUCUUUUGUGCAGGAAUAAAGUGGGUUACGUGUAACCUUUUGUAUGUACUGUACGAAUAAGGAUCGGCUAACUCCGUGCCAGCCGCCGCGGUAAAAC